GGAGACAUUUGCAAGCUCUUAAAAAUAUAUUUUUCUCCCUUUGCCUAUAUUCUCAAGUAUCGAUGAAGGCAAUGGAGAUGAACAUCUAGGAAGACUACAGCUUGUGAAAAAUAGUUAAUAAACUAUGCACAGGAUGAAGUUACAAUGAGCAAGUAGAACAUCACAAAGUUAGUGAUGAGUAAAGGAGGGUUACGCACUCCUUGAAAGUGGAUUUUAAAUCUAAUUCAACCUUACAAAAUCAACUUAGAAAGUGAGUUUUGUAUUUAUUUAUAUACUAUAACUUGGGCAUAUCUUUAAUUAAUAAAAGAUCUCUAACUGACACUAUAAGGUCUGCACAACAACCAUUGUUUCAAAAUUGCUACAAAUCAAGGCCCAAGAUCACCAAAGUUUAUAGAAGAGCGAAGCUAAGUGCAGGUGUAAAGCAAGAAAACGAGAAUCGGGGCACCUAAGUGAAAUUAAAGGGAACAAAAGUGUAACUAAUAGACGAGCUGGGAAAAUGUUGAUGAGCAGUGAAUGUACUGAGAGAAAAUAAGCAAUAAGCAACGAAGGGUGUAUUUGUUGGGAGUGGAGAAUUGGUUAAGUUGUGAGAGACUUGGCCUCAUUGAAGCAUAGAACUGCUUCAUUUUUCUUCUUCAACACUUCAGACUUUCAUCUAAAUAGUUGGGUUUUCAUUUCGCUCUUGUCUCUNNN
rnacentral:lncRNA from 1 species